UCCCUGGAGGACUAGUGGUUAGGCCUCAGUGCUCUCACUGCUGUGGCCCAGGUUCGAUUCCCGGCCGGGGAA
rnacentral:tRNA from 1 species